GAUGAACGCUGGCGGCGUGCCUAAUACAUGCAAGUCGAGCGAACAGAUGAGGAGCUUGCUCCUCUGACGUUAGCGGCGGACGGGUGAGUAACACGUGGAUAACCUACCUAUAAGACUGGGAUAACUUCGGGAAACCGGAGCUAAUACCGGAUAAUAUAUUGAACCGCAUGGUUCAAUAGUGAAAGACGGUUUUGCUGUCACUUAUAGAUGGAUCCGCGCCGCAUUAGCUAGUUGGUAAGGUAACGGCUUACCAAGGCAACGAUGCGUAGCCGACCUGAGAGGGUGAUAGGCCACCCUGGAACUGAGACACGGUCCAGACUCCUACGGGAGGCAGCAGUAGGGAAUCUUCCGCAAUGGGCGAAAGCCUGACGGAGCAACGCCGCGUGAGUGAUGAAGGUCUUCGGAUCGUAAAACUCUGUUAUUAGGGAAGAACAAAUGUGUAAGUAACUAUGCACGUCUUGACGGUACCUAAUCAGAAAGCCACGGCUAACUACGUG
rnacentral:rRNA from 1 species